rnacentral:rRNA from 1 species
GUUGGCAAUACAUCGUCAGCGACUGAGCAAAAGCAUUAAGUGAUCCACCUGGGGAGUACGGUCGCAAGAUUGAAACUCAAAGGAAUUGACGGGGGCCCGCACAAGCGGUGGAACAUGUGGUUUAAUUCGAUGAUACGCGAGGAACCUUACCUGGGCUUAAAUGCAGAAUGACCUUCCGGGAAACCGGAAUUUCCUUCGGGACAAUUUGCAAGGUGCUGCAUGGCUGUCGUCAGCUCGUGCCGUGAGGUGUCGGGUUAAGUCCCAUAACGAGCGCAACCCUUAUCGUUAGUUGCCAGCGGGUAAUGCCGGGGACUCUGACGAAACUGCCGGUGUAAACCGAGAGGAAGGUGGGGAUGACGUCAAGUCAGCACGGCCCUUACGUCCAGGGCUACACACGUGUUACAAUGGCCAGUACAAAGGGCAGCUACCAGGCGACUGGAUGCUAAUCUCUAAAGCUGGUCUCAGUUCGGAUUGAAGUCUGCAACUCGACUUCAUGAAGGUGGAAUCGCUAGUAAUCGGAUAUCAGCAACGAUCCGGUGAAUACGUUCCCGGGCCUUGUACACACCGCCCGUCAAGCCAUGGAAGCUGGGGGUACCUAAAGUCCGUAACCGCAAGGAGCGGCCUAGGGUAAAACUAGUGACUGGGGCUAAGUCGUAACAAGGUAGCCG